GCCCAGGUGGCGGAAUUGGUAGACGCGCUGGCUUCAGGUGUCAGUGACCUUAAGGUCGUGGAAGUUCGAGUCUUCUCCUGGGC
rnacentral:tRNA from 1 species